rnacentral:rRNA from 1 species
ACAUGCAAGUCGAACGAUUAAAGCUCUCUUCGGAGAGUGCAUAAAGUGGCGCACGGGUGAGUAACACGUAAGUAAUCUACCCUCGAGUGGGGAAUAACAGUCGGAAACGACUGCUAAUACCGCAUAAUGCAGCGGCACCGCAAGGUGACAGUUGUUAAAGAUUUAUUGCUUGAGGAGGAGCUUGCGGCAGAUUAGCUUGUUGGUAAGGUAACGGCUUACCAAGGCUACGAUCUGUAUCCGGUCUAAGAGGACGGUCGGACACACUGACACUGAACAACGGGUCAGACUCYUACGGGAGGCAGCAGUCGGGAAUUUUGGGCAAUGGGGGAAACYYUGACCCAGCAACGCCGCGUGAAGGAUGAAGUAUUUCGGUAUGUAAAUUUCGAAAGAAUAGGAAGAAUUAAUGACGGUACUAUUUAUAAGGUCCGGCUAACUACGUGCCAGCAGCCGCGGUAAUACGUAGGGACCAAGCGUUGUUCGGAUUUACUGGGCGUAAAGGGCGCGUAGGCGGCGCGGUAAGUCACUUGUGAAAUCUCUGAGCUUAACUCAGAACGGCCAAGUGAUACUGCAGUGCUAGAGUGCAGAAAGGGCAAUCGGAAUUCUUGGUGUAGCGGUGAAAUGCGUAGAUAUCAAGAGGAACACCUGAGGCGAAGGCGGGUUGCUAGGCUGACACUGACGCUGAGUGCGCGAAAGCCAGGGGAGCAAACGGGAUUAGAUACCCCGGUAGUCCUGGCCCUAAACGAUGAAUACUUGGUGUCUGGAGUCUUUAAUG